rnacentral:misc_RNA from 1 species
GAUGAAGAACGUAGCGAAAUGCGAUACGUAAUGUGAAUUGCAGAAUUCAGUGAAUCACCGAGUCUUUGAACGCACAUUGCGCCCCCUGGUAUUCCGGGGGGCAUGCCUGUCCGAGCGUCAUUGCUGCCCUCAAGCACGGCUUGUGUGUUGGGCCUCCGUCCUCCUCCCGGGGGACGGGCCCGAAAGGCAGCGGCGGCACCGCGUCCGGUCCUCGAGCGUAUGGGGCUUCGUCACCCGCUCUUGUAGGCCCGGCCGGCGCUUGCCGACACAUCAAUCUUUUUUCCAGGUUGACCUCGGAUCAGGUAGGGAUACCCGCUGAACUUAAGCAUAUCAAUAAGCGGAGGA